UCUAUCAUUGAGUCAAAGAUAUGUCGACCCAUAUCAACCAUUCCCUUUCUUCCACAGGCUGCAAUUACAGAAAGGAAUGUAAUGGAGUCAGGCGUCACCCCUUCCCUCUGCAUAUUCUCAAACCAAUUCAUGACAGAUUCAUAGUCUCCAUGCCUUGCAUAAGCAGAGAUAAUUGCGGUCCAGGCAAACUGGCUUUUUUGAGGUGCCUCAGCAAAAACUCUGAGAGACUCGCAAAUGCUCCCGCGCUUUGCAUACAUGUCAAGGAGAGCACUAGAAACAAUUGUGUUGGUGUUCAAUCCAAGUUUUACUAUUUGAGAGUGGCACCUUUGGCCAUGUUUUAAAGAUACAUCCUCAGCAGCACCAAUUGCACUCAAGACACUACCAAAUGUGUAUUCAUUGGGCUUUGAUUCCACAAAGGCAGAUAGAAAUGUGCGGAUAGCUUCUUGAGACAAUCUAUUUUGUACGAAACCAGAUAUUAAAGCAUUCCAUGUUAUGAUCUCUCUAUAGUUGAGCUCCUCAAAAACCUUUAUUGAGUCUUGCAUGAAUCCAAACUUGGCAUACAUGGUGAUGAAACUAUUACAAACACUGGAUUCUGAUAAAAAAGCACUCUUUAUACAAAACCCAUGAAUUCUCUUGCCUGAUUCCACCAAACUCCCAAUUGUUAAAGCAUGAAUUAAACCAACAAAGGUAACAUCAUUGGGAUAAACCCCAUCUGAUCUCAUCUCAUUAAAGAGAGUCACAACAUUUUCUUCAUCAAUAGAUAUCAUUGUAGUCCAUGAGACUACAUUGCGCUCGUCCAUAUUUUGGAACACUAGUUUAGCAUCUUGAGUGACAUCACACUUCGAGUAUGUCGAGAUGAGAACAUUACCAACAGAGACAUGUUUCCCAUAUCCUCUUUUUAUACUCAAACCAUGUAUCUGACUCCCAAGCUCUAAGUUUUUCUCAUGCCCACAAGCUGAAAUUGCACUAGUAAAUGAAACAUGAUCAAGUUGUAUUCCUUUUCUAACCAUUUCGAUAAAAAUCCAAAUUGCUUCCAACCCAAUUCCUUCCUGGGUAUACCCCGAUAUUAUUGCAUUCCAUGAAACCAAAUCCCUAGCUGGCAUUUCCUCAAACACUCUUCUAGCUUCCAGUAAACGUCCCCACCUUGAAUACAUAGUCACAAGCGCAUUCCCGACAAAAACUUCAGAGUCUAAUCCAACUUUCAAUAUAGAAGAAUGCAAUUGCAAUCCAAAAAGAAACUCUUCAUUCAUUGAACAGAACGCAAGAACAGUAGUAUAAGUCACAGCAUCAAAAACGACACCACUUGAAUUCAUUUUCCAAGCAAAAUUUAGAGCAUGUUCACUCCUUUGAAACCCGGAAAGCACCGUAUUCCAAGAAACAAUAUCACGAUCGGUUAAAUUUUGAAAAAUACGCAAAGCUUCAUUAAACUGUCCAGACUUGCAGUACAUAUUCAUUAGCGCAUUAGGAACCGUAAUAUGCGAACCCAAUCCAGAGGUGAUAGAAAACCCAUGGAUUUGAGACCCAAGUAAUAUGUCUCCGCUGCAAGCUUUGAGGGCCAGGGCAAUGGAAACUUCAUCGAUGCUGUUGUGAAAGCCCAGCUGAAGAUGAUUCUUGAAGAUUUCAAGCGCUUGAAAUGGGCAGUUUUUGUGUAUGUAAUCGACCAUGGACCUGUGAAUGAAGACAGCAUUUGGCUGAGGAUUUUUGUCGAACAAUUUGCGUGCAUCGUUAUAUGUACGGAUGUUUUUCAACAAACAAUACCGUUGCUUAGCAACUCUGUGGAGCGGUUUGGAAUAUCGUUGGCGGGUAAGCAUUUACAAGUUUAACGAGAAGAAAAUCUACUUGGCCUGUUCUGCUUAGGUUGUGCAUUUCUCCAUUGCCGCCACCAUUUGCUUCCUUGGCUGUUGCGGCUCACCAUGCUUUUCAUUUAAUUUUCCGUG
rnacentral:misc_RNA from 1 species